rnacentral:rRNA from 1 species
CCUACGGGGAGCAGCAGUGAGGAAUAUUGGUCAAUGGACGCAAGUCUGAACCAGCCAUGCCGCGUGCAGGAAGACGGCUCUAUGAGUUGUAAACUGCUUUUGUACGAGGGUAAACGCAGAUACGCGUAUCUGUCUGCACGUAUCGUACGAAUAAGGAUCGGCUAACUCCGUGCCAGCAGCCGCGGUAAUACGGAGGAUUCAAGCGUUAUCCGGAUUUAUUGGGUUUAAAGGGUGCGUAGGCGGUCGGAUAAGUUAGAGGUGAAAUCCCGAGGCUCAACUUCGGAAUUGCCUCUGAUACUGUUCGGCUAGAGAGUAGGUGCGUUAGGCAGAAUGUAUGGUGUAGCGGUGAAAUGCUAAGAGAUCAUACAGAACACCGAUUGCGAAGGCAGCUUACCAAGCUACUUCUGACGGUGAGGCACGAAAGCGUGGGGAGCAAACAGGAUUAGAUACCCCAGAAGUC